UGACUACAGUAGCCAAAACCCUGUUUCCAAUUAUCUGAGUCUCUACCUUUUACACGCACUAUCAAUGGCUGCCUCUGCCCAUUUCUUAUCCUUGACCCCACGCACCCUCUCUCUUCACCACACCAACUCCUCCGCCGCGGCCUCGGCCUCCCCUUCUCUUUUCACACUCUCUUCCAUCAAAACCUUCCCCAAACUCGUUCUAGCGCUCUCUUCUGUCACUACCCGCGCUUCCAACUUUGUACCCUUCUUAUCGGACAUGGAAGAGGAGGAGGCCGAUGAGAUUCCCGGUUUGAAGCUGUUCGUGGGCAAUUUGCCUUUUUCUGUUGAUAGUGCUGUCCUUGCUGGCUUGUUUCAACAAGCCGGAACUGUGGAAGCGGUUGAUGUUAUCCUCGACAAAGCCACGGGCAGAAGUCGGGGUUUUGGUUUCGUGGUGAUGUCUUCGGUUGAGGAAGCUGAAGCUGCAGUUGAACAAUUUAAUGGAUAUGAAAUUGAGGGCAGAGCUUUGCGCGUAAACUCUGGACCACCACCACCUAAAAGGGAAAGAGGCUCUUUUGGAAGAAGGGAUAACUCCUUUGGAGGAUCCAGGGGACGGGAGCGAUCAAGCUAUGGAAACUCUUCAUUCGAAGGACCUAGAGGGGGUCGCGAACAAUCAAGUUAUGGUAAUACCAACAAGGUUUAUGUGGGUAACCUUUCAUUUGAUGUGGACGACUAUGCUCUCGAGUCUGUGUUUAGUGAGCACGGAAAUGUUCAGGAUGCAAGAGUGAUUUGUGAUAGAGAUAAUGGUAGAUCAAGGGGAUUCGGAUUUGUAACCUACAGCUCGGCUGAAGAGGUCAACAAAGCCGUUGAGUCAUUGGAUGGCACAGUAAGUAUUGAGUAGAGAAUUUGAUGGCUUUAUGGAUGCAAGCUUUCGUGGAUAGGAGCUGGAGGGUCGACCUAUUCGAGUCAGUCCUGCUGAAGACCGUCGUUAAAAUUUAAAACUGAAAACAAUUUUGAUCCUGCGAACUAUCGGUCAUGAUAUAGCGAAGUCGGUGCCCUAAGGUGAUGUGGUUAUAUGAAGUGGAACUACUGGUGACUACACUCAAGUUGCAACCAAAUAUUCAGCUUCUGCAUCGAUGCAACUAGUGUACAUGUAUGUUCGUUCCGAGUGUGAUUGAAAGUAUGUAAUCCACUAGUUAUUUUGUUUUAAACAAUGACGGUUUUUGGCACAUGGCAUUUGGGUUGGAAAGAAUUAGCAGGUGAGCCAUGAGCAUUAAUCACCACCCCUUUAUGAAACAAUAUUACAUCGGCUUUAGUGUACUUGUUUUAUUGUUACGUUCCA